rnacentral:rRNA from 1 species
GAGUCUUAACCGGGCGUUAAGUUGCAGGGUAUAGACCCGAAACCCGGUGAUCUAGCCAUGGGCAGGUUGAAGGUUGGGUAACACUAACUGGAGGACCGAACCGACUAAUGUUGAAAAAUUAGCGGAUGACCUGUGGCUGGGGGUGAAAGGCCAAUCAAACCGGGAGAUAGCUGGUUCUCCCCGAAAGCUAUUUAGGUAGCGCCUCGUGAAUUCAUCUCCGGGGGUAGAGCACUGUUUCGGCUAGGGGGCCAUCCCGGCUUACCAACCCGAUGCAAACUGCGAAUACCGGAGAAUGUUAUCACGGGAGACACACGGCGGGUGCUAACGUCCGUCGUGAAGAGGGAAACAACCCAGACCGCCAGCUAAGGUCCCAAAGUCAUGGUUAAGUGGGAAACGAUGUGGGAAGGCCCAGACAGCCAGGAUGUUGGCUUAGAAGCAGCCAUCAUUUAAAGAAAGCGUAAUAGCUCACUGGUCGAGUCGGCCUGCGCGGAAGAUGUAACGGGGCUAAACCAUGCACCGAAGCUGCGGCAGCGACGCUUAUGCGUUGUUGGGUAGGGGAGCGUUCUGUAAGCCUGUGAAGGUGUGUCGUGAGGC